rnacentral:rRNA from 1 species
AUACGGAGGGAGCAAGCGUUAUUCGGAAUCACUGGGCGUAAAGGACGCGUAGGCGGGUUUGUAAGUCAGGUGUGAAAUCCUACAGCUCAACUGUAGAACUGCACUUGAAACUACAGACCUAGAGUAUGGAAGGGGCAGAUGGAAUUAGUGGUGUAGGGGUAAAAUCCGUAGAUAUCACUGGGAAUACCGAAAGCGAAGGCGAUCUGCUGGGACAUUACUGACGCUGAGGCGUGAAAGCGUGGGGAGCAAACAGGAUUAGAUACCCCGGUAGUCC